CAACCCUCACGCCUAGCGUGGUAUUGGGCUCCGCCUGCGAAGGCCGGCCUCAAAAUCAGUGGCGGCACCCGUCUGACUCUAAGCGUAGUAAUACUCGUCGCUUUUGGGCUCAGGCGGCAGCCUGCCAGCAACCCCCACUUUCAA
rnacentral:misc_RNA from 1 species